UGCAGUCGCACGAGAACGCUUCAGCUUGCUGAAGUUAGUAAAGUGGCGCACGGGUGAGUAACGCGUGGGUAAUCUACCUCCGAAUUGGGGAUAACCCCGCGAAAGCGGGGCUAAUACCGAAUGACAUUUUUAAAACUCAAGUUUUAGAGAUCAAAGGUGGCCUCUACUUGUAAGCUACUGUUUGGGGAUGAGCCCGCGUACCAUUAGCUAGUUGGUAGGGUAAGAGCCUACCAAGGCAACGAUGGUUAGCUGGUCUGAGAGGAUGAUCAGCCACACUGGAACUGACACACGGUCCAGACUCCUACGGGAGGCAGCAGUGAGGAAUUUUGCGCAAUGGGGGAAACCCUGACGCAGCAACGCCGCGUGAGUGAUGAAGGCUUUCGGGUCGUAAAGCUCUGUCAAGUGGGAAGAACCCACAUGGUGAUAAUAAUGCCAUGUGUUGACGGUACCACUGAAGGAAGCACCGGCUAACUCCGUGCCAGCAGCCGCGGUAAUACGGGGGG
rnacentral:rRNA from 1 species